AACGAUGUGGCUCAUGGAGAGUACUGACUUUGUUGUCAGUGGAACUGGUUCAAUUCCAGUCAUCGUUU
rfam:Aphanomyces astaci strain APO3 cont1.3482, whole genome shotgun sequence.